rnacentral:rRNA from 1 species
AUUAGCUAGUUGGUGAGGUAACGGCCCACCAAGGCGACGAUCAGUAGCCGGACUGAGAGGUUGAACGGCCACAUUGGGACUGAGAUACGGCCCAGACUCCUACGGGAGGCAGCAGUGAAGAAUAUUGCACAAUGGAGGAAACUCUGAUGCAGCAACGCCGCGUGAAGGAUGAAGGUUUUCGGAUUGUAAACUUCUUUUGUCGGGGACGAAAAAAAUGACGGUACCUGACGAAUAAGCCACGGCUAACUACGUGCCAGCAGCCGCGGUAAUACGUAGGUGGCAAGCGUUAUCCGGAUUUACUGGGUGUAAAGGGCGAGUAGGCGGGAUCAUAGGUCAGAUGUGAAAUCUGGGGGCUCAACCCCCAAACUGCAUUUGAAACUAUGAUUCUUGAGUGAUGGAGAGGCAGGCGGAAUUCCCGGUGUAGCGGUGGAAUGCGUAGAGAUCGGGAGGAACACCAGUGGCGAAGGCGGCCUGCUGGACAUUAACUGACGCUGAGGAGCGAAAGCGUGGGGAGCAAACAGGAUUAGAUACCCUGGUAGUCCACGCUGUAAAC